rnacentral:rRNA from 2 species
GAUGAACGCUGGCGGCGCGCCUAACACAUGCAAGUCGAACGGUUAAAGCACCUUUUAGGUGUGUAUAAAGUGGCGAACGGCUGAGUAACACGUGGGCAACCUGCCCUCCUCUUGGGGAUAGCCUCGGGAAACCGAGGAUAAUACCCGAUACUUCAAUGUGGCCGCAUGACGACAUUGAGAAAGCUUUUGCGGAGAAGGAUGGGCCCGCGGCCUGUUAGCUUGUUGGUGGGGUAGAGGCCUACCAAGGCAAUGAUGGGUAGCUGGGUUGAGAGACCGACCAGCCAGAUUGGGACUGAGACACGGCCCAGACUCCUACGGGAGGCAGCAGUGGGGAAUCUUGCACAAUGGGCGAAAGCCUGAUGCAGCGACGCCGCGUGCGGGACGAAGGCCUUCGGGUUGUAAACCGCUUUUCAGCAGGGACGAGGCGAAAGUGACGGUACCUGCAGAAGAAGCCCCGCUAACUACC